GGUAAGAUAAGCUAAAUUAAGCUUUUGGGCCCAUACCCCAAACAUGUUGGUGAGAACCCUUCUUUUACUA
rnacentral:tRNA from 1 species